rnacentral:lncRNA from 12 species
GGGAAGCUCUCUGUUGUGGUGUUCUGCUGUUUUGCCAUAAUGUGACUCUAGGCGAGCAUGGUGGUUAACCAUGGCAGGAGAGUAUGCCAGGGGAGAGAUCUCACAAAAUGCUUUGACGUCAGUACAGUAGAGCAGCAGGGAACUUUAUUGUGAUCUUCAACAAAAGCUGGCUGCAGAGAGCUUCUCUUGCUUUCCAAAGAAAUGGUGUAAUCAAUCUCAGGGAUUGGAAAGUUCUAUUGUUUAGAAAAAAUGCCUUGAUGGAUAUUUGGUUCUAAUGCGGGGCACGUCCCCCACCCUCCAGCACAGCCUGGAUGAAUGAUAGGGAAAUGAGAGGGCCGGACAUCUAACGUCCAAUGUCCUAGGAGAUUUCCAGAAUCAGCCCAUUCUACAGAAGCAGAAAUGCUUUCUAGGAAGUGAUGGGGUGAACCCAAGUGUAUGCUGCAGAGUAUCCUCAGAACCACCGGGCAUGCUCGUUAAGUUCAACACAAAAGACAUCUGGCCAGGCAGGCCCUGGUCACAACGCAGUUUUCCCAACUCCCAAAUGGUGGAUAUUUUCAAGUAAUGAGGAUUCUGGAGGAGGGUGGAGCUCUGUGAUGUCAGCAUCCACUUCCUGAAGGCUGUGGAUCUGCUUUCCCAGGCAACGUGCAUUACCUUCUUCUGCAGGUUGGUCUUCAGGAAACAAUGAAACCCACCGAAUCCUUCCCAUGAGCCUGGAAGUGGCCAGCUCAACCCUCCCCAGCCCUGCCUGGGAUCUACAGAGGGCCUUGUGGGCAGGGAUAAGGCCACAGUUGCUAAGAAACCAGGGUUGCGGCUCAACCAGCUGAGGCCUGCAGGCUGUGCUGACAUGAUGGGGGACAGUGGCAUACCCCCAAGACCACAUCUGGCUGCAGAUCUAAUGGCUACACAACUGUGCUAAUGAAGACACUGUCUCCUACAGGCUUGCUCAGCUGCUUGCCCUCUCCCUUCAUUCCCGUUGUCAUCUCCUGUUGAGUCUACCCAAUGAAACUUUCCUGUUAGCAUCCCCCACCUGAUGGCUCUUCUCCCUGCCACUGGCUUAUUAGUUCACUCUUUAUCAUCUCUCAUGGGAAUCAUUGCCACAGACUUUCCCUGGUCCUAGGCCUCCCAUUUCAAACCUCUCUGUAUUCAACAAAUCCCGGUCAUUGGGAUUUGUUAAAUGUCUCAAGAGCUACUUGUAGCUCUAGUGUCAUAAAGAAUAUCCUUUGGUUUUGACUAAAUCUGAC